rnacentral:rRNA from 1 species
UGGGGAAUAUUGCACAAUGGAGGAAACUCUGAUGCAGCGACGCCGCGUGAGUGAAGAAGUAAUUCGUUAUGUAAAGCUCUAUCAGCAGGGAAGAUAGUGACGGUACCUGACUAAGAAGCUCCGGCUAAAUACGUGCCAGCAGCCGCGGUAAUACGUAUGGAGCAAGCGUUAUCCGGAUUUACUGGGUGUAAAGGGAGUGUAGGUGGCCAUGCAAGUCAGAAGUGAAAAUCCGGGGCUCAACCCCGGAACUGCUUUUGAAACUGUAAGGCUAGAGUGCAGGAGGGGUGAGUGGAAUUCCUAGUGUAGCGGUGAAAUGCGUAGAUAUUAGGAAGAACACCAGUGGCGAAGGCGGCUUACUGGACGGUAACUGACGUUGAGGCUCGAAAGUGUGGGGAGCAAACAGGAUUAGAUACCCUGGUAGUCCACACUGUAAACGAUGAUUGCUAGGUGUGGGGGGUCUGACCCCCUCCGUGCCGGAGUUAACGCAAUAAGCAAUCCACCUGGGGAGUACGGCCGCAAGGUUGAAACUCAAAGGAAUUGACGGGGGCCCGCACAAGCAGUGGAUUAUGUGGUUUAAUUCGACGCAACGCGAAGAACCUUACCAAGUCUUGACAUCCUGCGACGGACAUAGAAAUAUGUUUUUCCUUCGGGACGCAGAGACAGGUGGUGCAUGGUUGUCGUCAGCUCGUGUCGUGAGAUGUUGGGUUAAGUCCCGCAACGAGCGCAACCCUUGUCCUUAGUAGCCAGCAGUAAGAUGGGCACUCUAGGGAGACUGCCGGGGAUAACCCGGAGGAAGGUGGGGAUGACGUCAAAUCAUCAUGCCCCUUAUGGCCUGGGCUACACACGUGCUACAAUGGUGCUAACAGAGAGAAGCGAAACUGUGAAGUGGAGCAAAGCUCAAAAAUGGCAUCUCAGUUCGGAUUGUAGUCUGCAACUCGACUACAUGAAGCUGGAAUCGCUAGUAAUCGCAGAUCAGAAUGCUGCGGUGAAUACGUUCCC